rnacentral:rRNA from 1 species
GACGAAGGGGGCUAGCGUUGUUCGGAAUUACUGGCGUAAAGCGCGCGUAGGCGGUUCUUCAAGUCAGGCGUGAAAGCCCCCGGGCUUAACCCGGGAAUAGCGCUUGAUACUGUGGGACUUGAGUCCGGGAGAGGAUAGUGGAAUUCCCAGUGUAGAGGUGAAAUUCGUAGAUAUUGGGAAGAACACCAGUGGCGAAGGCGGCUAUCUGGACCGGUACUGACGCUGAGGCGCGAAAGCGUGGGGAGCAAACAGG